rnacentral:rRNA from 1 species
CUACGGGAUGCUGCAGUGGGGAAUAUUGGACAAUGGGGGAAACCCUGAUCCAGCAAUGCCGCGUGUGUGAAGAAGGCCUGCGGGUUGUAAAGCACUUUCGGUUGGGAGGACUGCUUCUAGCACUAAUAUUGUUGGAAGUUGACGUUACCUUCAGAAGAAGCACCGGCUAACUCCGUGCCAGCAGCCGCGGGUAAUACGGAGGGUGCAAGCGGUUAAUCGGAAUUACUGGGCGUAAAGCGCGCGUAGGCGGCUAGAUCAGUCGGGUGUGAAAGCCCCGGGCUUAACCUGGGAACUGCAUCCGAUACUGUCUAGCUUGAGUACAGGAGAGGAGAGUGGAAUUCCACAUGUAGCGGUGAAAUGCGUAGAUAUGUGGAGGAACACCAAUGGCGAAGGCAGCUCUCUGGCCUGAUACUGACGCUGAGGUGCGAAAGCGUGGGGAGCAAACAGGAUUAGAUACCCCAGUAGUC